ACUUUCAGUGCCUUGAGUGUCAAGCUUUGGAUGACUGACCCUACGUGGGCGGUUGUGCAGGGAGUGGGUACUUGUGAGCCUCGGACACACUGUUAAGUGUUACAGUGUUAGGAGAGAGAUGGGUGAGAGGACCUGGAGAGGUAAGGGGCCUGGAAAUGGCCCUGGCAGAGAACUUGUGCUGACUGGGAGAAGGUGGCGCGGAAGGGCACCACAGGCAUUCCACGGGCCAUUUCUCCUCCUCCAUGUGCACGCACAUCCAACACACACCUUCCAUGUGACCGCUUCUCAGCCACCACCUUCUGACCAAAGAGAACAGGCGCUCCGAGGAGAACCUGUACCCCUGCCCCAGCCUCGCCUUCCUAAGAAGCAGUGUCUGGAGGUGGCUAUUUCCCGCCUCCCCAGCUGCAUGUCCAGCCCAAUGGGAGACAGGGCCUCUGGUGCAGUUCCCAAAAUGUUCCUCGCCCUUUCUCCAUGGUCACCAUUCAUAAUUCAUGUUCGCUUUAAUGAGUUACAUGUUCAUCAGCCACAGGCCAUUACCACCCUUACGGAUGGGUCUGGGGGGCGACAUUCCUGGCCAACGCCUUGCUAGGAAGGACCAGAUAAUACCCAGGAAGCAAGUAGCUCUAAUUUUAACCUCGCAGGAAGUCUCUGCAUCCUCCUUCAUUUCAGCAGGGAAAACUCCUGUGGAGUGGGCCCUACCUGGGGCAUUUACAGGCUUCCAGCUGUAUUCCAUCCCUGGAAGCUGACACCUUUCUACAGAAUCCUUUUAUGAGAGCUCAGUGGGAAGGUCUGUCAAGAAAUUCAGGUUCUUGUACAGACAAAUUCAUGCAAAUUUCUAUUAUUUUCA